rnacentral:rRNA from 1 species
AACGAACGCUGGCGGCAUGCCUAACACAUGCAAGUCGAACGAGACCUUCGGGUCUAGUGGCGCACGGGUGCGUAACGCGUGGGAACCUGCCCUUAGGUUCGGAAUAACUCCCCGAAAGGGGUGCUAAUACCGGAUAAUGUCUUCGGACCAAAGAUUUAUCGCCUUUGGAUGGGCCCGCGUUGGAUUAGCUAGUUGGUAGGGUAAAAGCCUACCAAGGCGACGAUCCAUAGCUGGUCUGAGAGGAUGAUCAGCCACACUGGGACUGAGACACGGCCCAGACUCCUACGGAAGGCAGCAGUGGUGAAUAUUGGACAAUGGGCGAAAGCCUGAUCCAGCAAUGCCGCGUGAGUGAUGAAGGCCUUAGGGUUGUAAAGCUCUUUUACCCGGGAUGAUAAUGACAGUACCGGGAGAAUAAGCUCCGGCUAACUCCGUG